rnacentral:rRNA from 1 species
CCCUUAGAUGUCCGGGGCCGCACGCGCGCUACACUGAAGGAAUCAGCGCGGCUUUCUCCCUGACCCGAAAGGGUUGGGAAACCCGUUGAAUCUCCUUCGUGAUAGGGAUUGGGGCUUGAAAUUGUUCCCCAUGAACGAGGAAUUCCCAGUAAGCGCGAGUCAUAAGCUCGCGUUGAUUACGUCCCUGCCCUUUGUACACACCGCCCGUCGCUACUACCGAUUGAACGGUUUAGUGAGGGCCUCGGAUUGGUCUCGGCCCGCUCUUUACCGGGCGGCGCCGUUGGUCGAGAAGACGCUCGAACUUGAUCGUUUAGAGGAAGUAAAAGUCGUAACA